UACGUAGGGGGCGAGCGUUGUCCGGAAUCAUUGGGCGUAAAGAGCGUGUAGGUGGACUGGAAGGUCUGGUGUGAAAGCCCGGGGCUCAACCCCGGAGGGUCACUGGAAACCAACAGUCUUGAGUCCGGAAGAGGAGAGUGGAAUUCCUGGUGUAGCGGUGGAAUGCGCAGAUAUCAGGAGGAACACCAAUGGCGAAGGCAGCUCGCUGGGACGUUACUGACGCUGGAGAACGCGAAAGCGUGGGGAGCAAACAGG
rnacentral:rRNA from 1 species